rnacentral:rRNA from 1 species
GUCUUUUUGAAAUAAUUUAAAGUCUAAUCUGCCCACUGAUAAAAAAUUAAAGGGCUGCAGUAUAAUGACUGUACAAAGGUAGCAUAAUCAAUAGUUUUUUAAUUGAAAACUUGUAUGAAAGAUUUGAUGAAAUAUGGACUGUCUCUAAUUUAUAUAUUGAAUUUUAUUUUUUAGUAAAAAAGCUAAAAUAAAUUUAAAAGACGAGAAGACCCUAUAGAGUUUUAUAUUUAAUUUUAUUUUAAAAUUAUAUAAAAAUUAAUAUUAAAAAUAAAAUUAAAUAUUAUAUUGGGGUGAUAGAAAAAUUAAAUUAACUUUUUUUAAAAAUUAAACAUAAAUAAAUGAUUAUAUGAUCCAUAAAUAAUGAUUAUAAGAAAAAAUUACCUUAGGGAUAACAGCGUAAUAUUUUUUUUUAGUUCAGAUAAAAAAAAAAGUUUGCGACCUCGAUGUUGGAUUAAGAUAAAAUUUAAAUGCAAAAGUUUAAAAAUUUUGAUCUGUUCGAUCAUUAAAAUCUUACA